GCAGAGAACUUUCCAGAGAUGGAUUGGUGCCUUCGGGAACUCUGACACAGGUGCUGCAUGGCUGUCGUCAGCUCGUGUCUGAGAUGUUGGGUUAAGUCCCGUAACGAGCGCAACCCUUGUCCUUAGUUACCAGCACGUUAUGGUGGGCACUCUAAGGAGAACUGCCGGUGACAAACCGGAGGAAGGUGGGGAUGACGUCAAGUCAUCAUGGCCCUUACGGCCUGGGCUACACACGUGCUACAAUGGUCGGUACAAAGGGUUGCCAAGCCGCGAGGUGGAGCUAAUCCCAUAAAAACCGAUCGUAGUCCGGAUCGCAGUCUGCAACUCGACUGCGUGAAGUCGGAAUCGCUAGUAAUCGUGAAUCAGAAUGUCACGGUGAAUACGUUCCCGGGCCUU
rnacentral:rRNA from 1 species